rnacentral:rRNA from 1 species
GAAACUAACAAGGAUUCCCCUAGUAACGGCGAGUGAAGCGGGAAAAGCUCAAAUUUGUAAUCUGGCGCCUUUGGCGUCCGAGUUGUAAUCUCGAGAAGUAUUUUCCGCGCUGGACCGCACAUAAGUCUGUUGGAAUACAGCGUCAUAGUGGUGAGAACCCCGUAUAUGGUGCGGAUGCCCAGUGCUUUGUGAUAUACUUUCGAAGAGUCGAGUUGUUUGGGAAUGCAGCUCAAAUGGGGUGGUAAAUUCCAUCUAAAGCUAAAUAUUGGCGAGAGACCGAUAGCGAACAAGUACCGUGAGGGAAAGAUGAAAAGCACUUUGGAAAGAGAGUUAACAGUACGUGAAAUUGUUGGAAGGGAAACGCUUGAAGUCAGACUUGCAUUUUGGAGUUCAGCCGCAAGGUGUAUUCUCCAAUUCGCAGGCCAGCAUCAGUUUUCGGGGGUGGAAAAUCGCGGUUUGAAGGUAGCAGCCUCGGCUGUGUUAUAGCUUUCCGCUGGAUUCAUUUUUGGGGACUGAGGAACGCAGUACGCUUUUUGCAAGAUUUUAGAAUCUUUCGUACUUAGGAUGCUGGUGGAAUGGCUUUAAAC